ensembl:rRNA 5S_rRNA 5S ribosomal RNA
CAGUGCUGCUACACCUCAGGCCAAAAACAAGUCACAUUUCACUAGCUAAGAGAUGUUGGGCCUGGUCUGGUACUUGGUUGAGAGACCUCCAAGGAAAACUCAAGUGCUGCAGGAA